rnacentral:rRNA from 1 species
AGUGAACGCUGGCGGUAUGCCUAACACAUGCAAGUCGAACGGCAGCACAGUAAGAGCUUGCUCUUACGGGUGGCGAGUGGCGGACGGGUGAGGAAUACAUCGGAAUCUACUUUUUCGUGGGGGAUAACGUAGGGAAACUUACGCUAAUACCGCAUACGACCUACGGGUUAAAGCAGUGGAUCUUCGGACCUUGCGCGAUUGAAUGAGCCGAUGUCGGAUUAGCUAGUUGGCAGGGUAAAGGCCCACCAAGGCGACGAUCCGUAGCUGGUCUGAGAGGAUGAUCGGCCACACUGGAACUGAGACACGGUCCAGACUCCUACGGGAGGCAGCAGUGGGGAAUAUUGGGCAAUGGGCGCAAGCCUGAUCCAGCCAUACCGCGUGGGUGAAGAAGGCCUUCGGGUUGUAAAGCCCUUUUGUUGGGAAAGAAAAGCAGCAGGUUAAUACCCCGCUGUUCUGACGGUACCCAAAGAAUAAGCACCGGCUAACUUCGUG